GUGCUCACUUCCGCAGCACAUACUAACUGGAACAAUACAGAGAAGAUUAGCCUGGCUCCCAUGCAAGCAUGGCAUGCAAAUUUGUGAAGCGUUCCGUGUAUUU
ensembl:snRNA U6 U6 spliceosomal RNA